UACAGAGGGGGCAAGCGUUGUUCGGAAUUACUGGGCGUAAAGGGCGCGUAGGCGGCCCGCUAAGUCGAACGUGAAAUCCCCAAGCUUAACUUGGGAACUGCAUCCGAUACUGGAUGGCUUGAAUCCGGGAGAGGGAUGCAGAAUUCCAGGUGUAGCGGUGAAAUGCGUAGAUAUCUGGAGGAAUACCGGUGGCGAAGGCGGCAUCCUGGACCGGCAUUGACGCUGAGGAGCGAAAGCUAGGGGAGCAAACGGG
rnacentral:rRNA from 1 species